rnacentral:rRNA from 1 species
UACGGAGGGGGCUAGCGUUGUUCGGAAUUACUGGGCGUAAAGGGCGCGUAGGCGGCGCGAUAAGUUGGGCGUGAAAGGCCCGGGCUCAACCCGGGGACUGCGCUUGAUACUGUCGCGCUGUGAGUCCGGGAGAGGAUGGCGGAAUUCCCAGUGUAGAGGUGAAAUUCGUAGAUAUUGGGAAGAACACCGGUGGCGAAGGCGGUCUGCUGGGCAGUUGCUGACACUGAGGCGCGACAGCGUGGGGAGCAAACAGG